rnacentral:rRNA from 1 species
CUCGAGCUACACUCCAAACCCAAUGUGAACCAUACCAAACUGUUGCCUCGGCGGG